UCUAUUUGUACUGAUGAAAUACUUUUGCUGAGCUAUUGGAUGCGGUAUUUUGUUCAAUGACCUUGAACUAUGAUAAACUCUUACGUUUCACAUCAACAUGAAGUCCAGAUUGUGCCUUAUGUUAAAUAUAAUGCUGUUAUUGAAGUGACAGAACAAUUUCAAUUAAGUUUGAAGUUAUUUUCAGCAAUUAACUGUGUCACCAUUCAAGUGGAUUGAAGACAAAUAUCUUUGUAACAAGAAUUGAUAGCUGUGGAUGAGCUCCUAGCAUAAAAUAAUAGAGAAUGUAAACUGAUCAGUUCUGAGAGCUGAGAAUGUAAACUGAUCAGUUCUGUGUUUCUGCUGUUACGUUUUUAUGAUCCUUUUCAUAGUAUGUAAAUGUGAACAGACCAAACACAUGAACAACUUUCACUGUGUCUAAUUUGGUCCUAAUCCCCACUGUGCUUUGGAUUUGCCAGUCUGCUGAAAGUUAUCUGCAGCUGGACAAAAGAAAAUGAAUCUUUUAAGGAUCUUCAUGUUAUAAAAGUAGAUUGAAGAGUAAGCCUACAGACAUUCCUGUUAAUAUUCAUAAUUUAAAUUUGGUUUUUUUCUUUCUACGUAUCAGCUCUGUGCUCUAUUUUCUCUCAAUAAUGUACCGGCUGAACAAUGAACUACAUUUAUAUCCUAGAGUAAAUGAAUUCUCCACAUUUUGUCAGACUGGGGCAAAGGGCAUUUAAGUGUUGAAUUAAUUACAUUCUAUUUGAGCUGUAUAUAUUUGCAUGUUGUGUUAAGCACAAGAUCUGAAGCAUUGGUGGGGGUGGGGGUGAGAGGUUCUGUUCUAAUUAGAGUCCUACCACUGAUUCAUUUGAUGUUGAACUUGGCUUUUUUUUGUAUGUGCUUGAACUAAAAACAUCAGAAAUUUGGGGGGCCCUGUAUUUAAAGUAAAUUCAGUAUUACUGUGCUGUUCAACCAGUGUAAAUAGAUGUGUCUCCCGCUCCCAAAGAAUUUACCGUGAAGUAAAACGGGCUGGAGUGGUUGAAUCUAAUAUAUUAAAUUUCAUAACUUAUGUCCUUAGUCCUAAGUUAAUAUUCUAAAAUUGCUCUUCCCUCAGCUAACAAUGAAAUAAGCAAACCUUCAAUUAUGUAAAUGUGAAACUGGUCAGCAUUUAAAAAAACACAAUGAUGGUAUCAAUACAUAAUCAUUUUUUUUCCUCUGAGAAACUGAGUAUUUGCCCACCCCGACACAUUUUAAAUUUGGAGUCUUGGUAAACUUAGCAUAGUUAAAUGAAAACUGGCUUAUUUAAAUGCUUGAGGAUGCAACCAAGGACACAGUUACCUCUAAAUCUUACCAAUAUGAUUAAGCAAGACAUAGUCUUCAACAACUAUUCGUAUGACAGAAUUGGACAUUUCAUCUGCUUUUACAGAAAUAUAAAUUAACUGCAAUUCAGAGUUGAUAAUAUGAUAUGGAACAGAAUGCAAGUACUGAGUCUUUACUAGAUGUUUGGUCACUGUUAUUUGAUAGCAAGUAUUUACAAUCUCAGACCAAGGAGCACUGCGUUCUUAAACAUAAAACUAACAAAUACCAAUUAGGUUGCUCCUGUUUCAGGAAAAAUUUAUAUAUACAUCUGUAAACUAAGCAGAGAGAUAUUGUAUACCAGCAGACAAAUGCAAUUGGAUUAAAGUUUAAAAAAAAUAUUCCUGUAUAAGAUAUGUUAAAUGUAUUUAACAUUACAAAAACCAUACAAAUCUAUAGUCUAAAGGGAACGAUUAUACAAACAGAUACCAUAAAGAAGUAAAAAUAAAAUCAAAUAUUGCAAACAAAUAUCAAUUAAGAGUAUAGUUAUAAAAAAUGAGAAGCUAUGACCAAGUUGCCAUUAUUUGAUAGCAAUAAAUUUGUGCAAAAGAA